UUCCCUAUGAUCAUUAAAGUGUAUGAAAAUUUCAAAAUUUGUAAAUAAAAUAGAAUUUGUUGAACAGUGUUAACUAUAAAGAAUCCAGAUUGAAGCAAUUUUUCGAUUAUUAGGUACGAGCAAGUGUUUUUUACUGGUUUGUUUACAGUGCGUCAUUACUGGUACCCAUCAUUUUUUUACAUUCCGUUUGUAAUGUUAGCAAACAUGAUUUUUAUUGCUUUUAAUGUUUCAAAUAUCUACUGUUUAAUGAUUGAAAUAUAUUAACAAGUAAUCAAUCUUUUAUUCCAUUCCGUUUUUCUACUUCUUUUAAAUGGUUGAUUAAAUGCAGAGACAAAUACAACGUUAGGUGCGUCAUUACUGGUUCCUCUGGGAUAUCAUUUAAUACUAGUCUUUAAUUAUAUCAAAAAAUCCCUUAACAGACACAAUGUCCUGUGAAAAGAUGUCCACCUAUGAAAUUGUGUCCGGUUGACAUUUUUUCGUUGGGGACAUUAUUAAGUCCUACACGUGUACCACAACAUCCUGUGUCUUUUUUCC
rnacentral:lncRNA from 1 species